rfam:Dipodomys ordii contig_22999, whole genome shotgun sequence.
GGGAAAGUAGCUCAGCAGUAGAGUGCAUGCCUUGCAAGCAUGAGGCCGUGGGUUCGAUUCCUCAUCACCA